rnacentral:rRNA from 1 species
UUUAAAUGUAAAAAUUUAUACUAAAUUAGUAUUAGUUAUGUUCUUCAAAUUUAAAGAUUUUGGCGGUAUUUUAGUCUAUUCAGAGGAACCUGUUCUGUAAUUGAUAAUCCACGAUUUACUUUACUUUAUUUAAUAGUUUGUAUAUCGUCGUUUAUAAAAAAUUUUAUAAGAAUAUAAAUUUUUAAUAUUUUAAAUUAAAAAAUAUAUCAGAUCAAGGUGCAGUUUAUAAUAAAGAAGAAAUGGGUUACAAUAAAUUUAUUUAAAUGGAUAAAUAAAAUAAUUUUUGUUUUGAAGGAGGAUUUGAUAGUAAUAAAAUUAAAUUUAAUUUUAUGAUUUUAGCUCUAAAAUAUGU